UUUUUUUUUUUGGCAUUUUAAACUUUACGCUCUCUUUCAAAGGAUGUUGUAGUCUUCGUGUUUACUAGCAUUACAACAAGACUGAGAAUACAGCAAGAGAGACUUUGUUUUCUCCUUUUUGCCUUUCAAAAAGAAAAAAAGAAAAAGAGGGAGAAGAAGAGAAAGAAAAAGAAAAGAAAGAAAGAAAAAGGAAAAGAAAAAGAAAAGAAAGAAAGAAAAAGGAAAAAAGAAAGAAAAAAGAAAAAGAAAAAGAAAAAGAAAAAGGAGAAGGAGAAGGAGAAGGAGAAGGAAAAAGAAAAAAUAAAUAAAAGGAAAAAGAUAAAAAGAAAAAGGGAAAAGAAAACAAUUUAUCUCUCCCCCUAGUAAUCCUCUCCUGUUAGAAAUAUACAUAGUUAUAAAUAUCACCAUGUAUAAAUAUAUACACUUAUUAAUAUAGUGUAAAAUCUCAUCUUUUGGGUAGCCUCUCUCUUCAUGCUAAAAUGCCUGAGACUGAUCAUAUUGACAAUGUAAUUUCACCUCUGAGAGAAGGCAUAACUCUUCUUCUGAGGGGUGCCCCAUGAUUGCCCCCCAGGCUGGACCCACCUCUGCGCCCAGUGAAUGCCUGGGCAGAAAAUGUGCUUCUUUAGCACGUGCAACAUCCCAUGGGCCUGAACACAUGGGGCAUUCUUAGGUGGUAUUAAUAUGUAAGUAGGUGGUUAGGACCCUGCCAGGCAUGUUUGGGCAGGCUGCCCAAGGCCCUGGUGUGGAUUGCGUGCAGGCACAAUGUGCUCUUGUCUGCUCCUGGGAGUGCAUUAUGAGCAAGUGAGGUAGACAUACCUCUGGAAACCUGAGUAUGGCAAACUGUUCCGGUUCAUGUUAAGGGGGAAAAGGAAAUGAAUAAACAUUAUAAAUCUGUGUUAGCCCAGAAAGACUGAAGAGCAUUCUUUCAUGCACAAUAAAGAGUAACAGAAAUAAAGGUAAGUAAGAGUAAAAGGAAUUUUUGAGCUCUUCUCCGGUGCAAGAAUUCCAUGAAAAACCUUGGAAAGAUUCAGAUGUACGUAGAUAAACCGAGGUACUUCAGGAGUCUUUGUUAGUGCAUGCACAGAGUUUGCUGAACCGGAAUGUUUCCCCUAAAUUUGACAAAUAUUGCACUCUGUUAAAGAUCUGAUUUAAAGACUAUUCAUAAAUUACUAUUUCCUUGGUCCAUCCUGGGAUUCUGAAGCAUUCCACAUUUACUGCUGAAGAAAGACACAACUGCAGCUCUUCAAAUCUGGGUUUCAGUAGAGUAAUACUGUAGCAGCUCUUAAAAGCCUCUCCAGGCUUUUAAGCCAGCAAGACUAGAAUUAGCUUGAGUUUGCAUAGCCCCAGGCUAGUCCUGCAAAGGCAGCAUUGCUGGGUUAGGAUUCAGUAGUGGCUGCAUUCCCUCCUGCCUUCCUCCCAGGUGGGUUGGGGAUGGAUGCAUAUCACAGUUCUGCAACAUCACGUGUCUGGGUUUCUGAAAUGAGGUUUUAAAAUUCUAGCUUGUGGGAAAUUGCUGAAUAUUUGAUUUCAUAAUUAAGGUUGAAGGAAAUACCACAUCAAAAUACUGUAAGUCCAUGCAAUUAAGAAAACUUGUGUUUCAGAUAAUUCUAGUCUAGCCUCCUUGCUGUUUUCAUAGAUCAUUGAUUAACUACGUACAAGGAAAUAUUCCUUUUCCAAAAAAAUAACAUGUAUAUAUAUAUAUAAUUUUUUUAAAUUGCACAGUAGAAACAUUUGAAAUAGUAUGGAGAUAAGCUUAUGAUGGGGCUUUGGUAUUGCUGAUGACAGUAUUCAGUUGCCGGAUAAAAGUAUAUCCUACAGAUGAUAUAGCAAAAUUACUCCAAUGGCUAAGGGUACAUUAAUAGCCCUAGGACAAAGAUUCAGAUAAGGCAAAGCCACAUACAAAUAAAUAUGAAGAUGGGAAGCAUAUGUGGCUGUAUGGAAACUCAAAGCAGACGAUGGAACAUCAGUUAAUCAGAAAAUUCCAGUGAAGGGAGUAGUAAGGGUAAUGGACAAUAUACUGAACAAGCAAAAAAGACAAUGCUGUCACAAGAAAGACAAACGCCACACUAGGUUGUGUUAAUUGGAGCACAGUAUGUAAUACAAGGAAGGCAGUUUUUCCGCUCUGUUUGACUUGGCUGAGCUUCAUCCAGACAGCCACAUUUAGUUUGGGCUACCACGUUUUUCAAAGAAUACAGACAAAUUAGAAGGACUUAAGAGAAGGACAUCAAAAAUGAUAAAAGGUGUUGAAAAUAUGGCCCAGGAGAAAAGCUUAAGAGACUGGGGUAUGUUCAGGCUAGAGAAGAGAAGUCAAAAGGGAGACAUAAUAACUCCUGAUAAUUGCAUAAAGGGGUGUUACCAAGAGGACAGGGACCAAUUUUUCUCAUUAGUCAAUGGGAAAAAAAACCCCAAGAAUUAAUGGACUUCAGUUGCAACCUAGAUAAUAGGGUUAAAUAUUAGGGAAAACUUUUCAACUGCAAGAACAGUUGGGUCGUGGAGCAAACUGUAGAGAGGUUUUCCAGAAUCAUGUCCACUGCAGGAUUUUAACACCAGACUUUAUGUCGAUCUAUCAGCAAAGGUUUAAAUUUAAUGAAAUCAAUCCUGACACAAUACAUGAGGGAAGGAGAAAAAAAGACUGGGCUGAAUGACCUGCAUGGAAUGUGUUUGCUGGUAAACAGCUCUGUGAUUCUCUGACCCCAUGCAGUACGAGAGAUUUAUUUGCUGUUGUUAAUUUUUUCCUUAUCUGUAAUUCCUGUCUUCAUCUGAAAGGGAAAAUGCAAGGAUGUGUUUUCCGCGUUUAAAUUAAUACUGAUAUGUAUCUGCCUUAUACAUCUAGAGAUGUGACCACAUUUCCCACUCUUACACUGGCUGGUGACUAGUGUACAUUUAAAGUGUCAGCUAGGAACUGAAGAUUUCAUACCUUCCAGCUGCAGGGCGACUCUUGGGUCCAAGUAGUGGCUCGUUGUGUUUGACACCUUUCUGCAGUGUGUUGCAGCUAAGGGCAAGGUGUGUCUUUAAAGCCCUUUCAAAACUACAUACUUACCACGAACUAGUAAAAUUUAUACCCUAAACCUAUACUUUCUCUGCUUGGAGCAUGACAAAUGUUAAAGGAAAUAUCUUUCAUGAACAUGGUGCCCCUGGCCUUAUGCUAUCUGCUUGCUCAACAUCCUUUAUGUAGCUUGGGCUGUUAAACUCAAGAUAAAACCACUGUGCAUCAGCAGCUGCAAAGUGAGCAUUAGGACUAGUAUCAAAGUCCAGGACACUGACAACUUAUAUAAACAACAAACUUUUUCAAUUACUCUAAGCAAUUCCUAAUGCACAUAAGCAAACCAGAUUAAUAUUUAAGCCAAAAUUCUGAGGUACCAAUAUACAAUUAAACAGAAGGGGGGGGGGGGGGGAGAGAAUGUUUUUCUUUUUGCUGUUGACUGCAUUGAAAUACUAAGUGUCCUCAAACCACUGCUUAAUGACAUAGACUGGAAAUGAAGUAGCUGAACGAACCCCCUAUAUGGAAGUGUUCUGCCAACAACCAUUCCAGUGCCAGCAGUAAAUUCCCAGACUAAACAGUUUAAAUUUGACAUUCUCAUUUGUGAUGCUGUACUUAUGCUACACUCAGAAGAUUGAUUCUCUGAAUUUAAAGUAUUCUAGCAAAUGAAUUAUUAGAAAUAUGAAAUUUUGGAUGACAAUCAUAUGUCUACAGCAAAUUAAUCUGAGAUUUUAACAAAACACUAUUCUUAUCAAGAGAAAUUUGUGGUGGUUUGAACAAUAAUAGCUGCAGUCAGGGUCAGUCAGUUUUCCACUCUAAUUUCUACUUUCAGGAGACUAAAUCCAAUGCUGACUGAAGCCUGACAACCAGCUCUCAGAUGAGACAAUGCUUUUUAUAGUAACCGAUGGAAAUAAAUUUUUUUGUUCUAAA
ensembl:lncRNA